rnacentral:rRNA from 1 species
GACGAACGCUGGCGGCGUGCCUAAUACAUGCAAGUUGAGCGCUGAAGGUUGGUACUUGUACCUACUGGAUGAGCAGCGAACGGGUGAGUAACGCGUGGGGAAUCUGCCUUUGAGCGGGGGACAACAUUUGGAAACGAAUGCUAAUACCGCAUAAAAACUUUAAACACAAGUUUUAAGUUUGAAAGAUGCAAUUGCAUCACUCAAAGAUGAUCCCGCGUUGUAUUAGCUAGUUGGUGAGGUAAAGGCCCACCAAGGCGAUGAUACAUAGCCGACCUGAGAAGGUGAACGGCCACAAUGGGACUGAGACACGGCCCAAACUCCUACGGGAGGCAGCAGUAGGGAAUCUUCGGCAAUGGACGAAAGUCUGAACGAGCAACGCCGCGUGAGUGAAGAAGGUUUUCGGAUCGUAAAACUCUGUUGGUAGAGAAGAACGUUGGUGAGAGUGGAAAGCUCAUCAAGUGACGGUAACUACCCAGAAAGGGACGGCUAACUACGUG